GAUAAUCAGCAGAUGAAGCACACCUGCCAUUCCUCAGCUCACCUGCCUUCCAUCAAGUCAUCACUCCAACUACAUAUAAACCCUGGCCUUCCUCCCACUCCUUGUCAGAUCGUUUGUUCAGCCUCCGUGGUCCACCACCAUCUUCACCACCUGCUUGCCUGCUCUCCAUCCACCAUCUUCAGACCGUCCAGACUCCGUGCCUCCUCCAUCCAUUCCCACCACUGCUUCACCUCAGCCAUUCCCUCCACCUCGUAUCGGACCCUCUCCUUCCCCUCUUCUCUCACUAACCGUUGUCCAAGCCUGCAUUCUGGGUCAACCUGUGCAACCAUGACACAUUCCCCAUCUCUCUCCCCACAUUUCCUGUCAAAUCUUUAUCUGUGCCUAUCAAUAAAAAACAAAAAGGCCAAAAAAAACAAAACACUGGAUCUGAUCUGAAGAUGACGGUGAACAGAAGAAAAAACCUCUGCUACUUGUUUUAUGUAAUAAAUCAGCCCUAGAAUGAUCAGAAUAUAUGUGUUGAAGAGGCACACAGUCAGAACAUGUCUUUAGCUUUUUUACUGCAUUUUUACACUAGCGCAGAAGCAUACAUAAGCAAGGAAAGGAGAAAA